ensembl:lncRNA
ACCCCCCCCCCCCCCCCCCGCUCACCCGCCACCGCGAGAAAACUAUUAGAUGCGACACUCGGAGGACGGUGCAGCUCGAGACGUUGUGUCUCGUUGCUGUUCUUUGCUGUCACAGCUCAGAGGACGUUUUCUGAGCUGCUCUCUGACGGGCUGCACGGCAGCAGAGGGACGAGCGCUCCGCAAUCCCACCACGGCCCACAGAGUCCCCACGUUUUUCAAAGACAACGUGAGUGGGUCCGAAAUGUUCCCCUGGCAGCUGUCAAAUGCUCAGAAUGCAGAACCUUUCAUUUUCCAACUGCUACAGAAGAACCAGACAUGUGAUCUGAUCUGUGCGUCCCUCUGGUUCCCCUGAUGAGUGGUGCGUUCCUCUGGUUCCCCUGAGGUGUGAGUGCGUUCCUCUGGUUCCCCUGAGGUGUGAGUGCGUUCCUCUGGUUCCCCUGAGGUGUGAGUGCGUUCCUCUGGUUCUCCUGAUGUGUGAGUGCAUUCCUCUGGUUCCGCUGACCUGUGGUGCGUUCCUCUGGUUCCCCUGAUGAGUGGUGCGUUCCUCUGGUUCCCCUGAUGAGUGGUGCGUUCCUCUGGUUCCCCUGACCUGUGGUACGUUCCUCUGGUUCCCCUGAUGAGUGGUGCGUUCCUCUGGUUCCCCUGAUGAGUGGUGCGUUCCUUUGGGUUCCCUGACCUGUGGUGCGUUCCUCUGGUU